rnacentral:rRNA from 1 species
UACGUAGGGACCAAGCGUUGUUCGGAUUUACUGGGCGUAAAGGGCGCGUAGGCGGCAUGACAAGUCAACUUGUGAAAUCUCCGGGCUUAACUCGGAACGGUCAAGUGAUACUGUCGCGCUAGAGUGCGGAAGGGGCAAUCAGAAUUCUUGGUGUAGCGGUGAAAUGCGUAGAUAUCAAGAGGAAUACCUGAGGUGAAGACGGGUUGCUAGGC